rnacentral:ncRNA from 2 species
CCUCUUUAUCGUGUUCAGGGUUGCCCUUUUAAGGGCGAUAGGGAAUCCCGUUAGAUACGGGAGCUGCCCCGCAACUGUAAUCGGCGACGAAAUCUUAGCUUGCCACUGGCUGAAAGCCGGGAAGGAUAAGAGAGUAGGACGACCCGUAAGCCAGGAGACCUGCCCUGAGCGAUUUAUCAGA